CACUCCCUCACAGUGAGAACCAGCCACCGGUUGUGCCAUCCACUAUUUUCUUUGGUAAGAACCUUGUAAGAGCUUGGUUAGACGUAUGAAAAUGUGCAUGUCCACUGUCCAUAGUAGUUGAUAGGGAUAGUCCUCUGUAUUUUGCCUUGUUUUCUUGCGAACAGUAACAUGGACCGAAGACACUUAGCGUGUUCUACACAUAGUGAUAUAAAAGGUUACAUGGACCAGAUCCUAAGGGAGUGAACGAAGCAAUUCAGAAGGCAGCCAAUGAAGCUUUUGCCAAGCAAAGUAUAGAUCACUCUAUUGCUACUACAUCUACUCCUACAGGUCAUUCUCUCUUUCAUCCCUUCCAACUUAUGAUGGUGUAGGUGUUGAUGAGUAUGUUGAUUGGCAAAUUAAGAUUGAUAAUAUAUUUGCGCAAUGUAAUAUGUGUCAACAGAGGAAAAUUAAGAAUGCCACUACAAUUUUAAGAAAUUAUGCUUCAACUUGACGAGAGAACUUAAGUGAUUCGUAUAAACCUCGAACAUGGACGGAUAUGAAAAAUUUGAGAAAAUUUUUUGUUGAUCCAUCUCAAGUAUCUAAUUUCCAAGAUGAAGUGCAUCAAUAAGAAGAGUAGUCGCUUGUUGUAUCUCCCACUAUGCCUAACCUUUAGCACAAUAAUGCACAGCUGAAAGUGGAUUAAGCGAAAAAAAUGAGGUGCUUUCUUUCUCAUGUAAAAUUUUAGAACCAUCCACUCACAAUGCACCUAUGUUUACUACUGUACAUAUAACAAACGUAAAAAACUUUUUACUACACUCACGGAAGGUGAGAAUUAUUUUAGCGAGUUAAAUCUGUUCACCAAUCAUGUUAUUGUAGAGCAACUAUUAGUGAAAAAAUUCAGCGAUUUACCUUUAUCACAAGAUGGUUUGCUUGUCGUUACUUAUGAUAAAGAAGAGUUGUGUGAUAAUAAUUCAGUUAUUCCAAUUUCACAACUAGUUCAUGCUCAUGAUAUACUUUCUUUGGAGCCAUAUACUUGUACCAACAGUUAUGUGUUUUUUCCUAUUACUAGUGCACAUGAUGAACUCAAAUUGUUAUCUUCUUUAAAUACUUUAGGUUAUAUUGAAUUUGAUAUUAUGUGUAAUCUAAGUUGUUUGGAGGAGAGAUUUUUUGCACAUUUUGAAUUGUGAUAUUUGAAUAAAAUACAUAUCAUUUCAUUGGCAAAUAUAAUUCUAAAGGAGAAUAUAUAUGGUUCAUUCAGUUUAUUUAUGUUCAAAUUUGAAAUAUUCCUUGGUUGUGCAACAAUGUGAUCAUGUAGAGGGCUGCAAUAACACUAGUCAAGUUCCUCCAGUUUUGUUUUAAAGAACCAGAUUAAGUUACAAGAAGGGAAGCAUUGUUGGUUGUUACCUACUACAUCUUCUACAACUACAGUCAAACUAAGGACUGUUUGCUUUCAAGAAGGGGAAAAUGAUGAGGACAUGAUAAGGAACUAUGAAGAAGACCUAGAAGUGCUUAAAGAGAGGCAUUGAGGGCUCGAGGCAGAGAAGGCCAGCAAAGGUUGCCCAAGUCAAGUUGGAGGCCCAACACAUAUCAAGUUCAAGUCAACCUCGGAAUCUGGGAGCAGCCUGCACUAAAUUCGCCACCCAGAUCCCAUAUGGGCUCGAUUUUCAACAUUCUACAUAUCCAUGGAAACUGAGAAGACACACUUUCCAAUAGAACUAGUAUGAUGAAAAUUCCUUUAGGGUCAACAAGAAUCAUCAAAACAAGUGAACAUACAGAAUCUGCUAGGGUGUUGCGUCACGUUUUAUCGGGACUUAGGCUCUGUAGUUUUCUUGGGACCCAUGCCCAAGUUGAGAACCCGCACCUGAAGGAGAACACCCCAAGGGUGCCCUAGAUCAUCCUCCAUUUUGGCCACCACCCCUUUGCUAUAUAAACGCAGUAGCCGCUGCCCUAGAUGCUCGGGUUUUACUCAAAUUCAAUAUGUCUUUGAACAAUCGCCAUUCAUCGGUUUGUGAGACCCCAACUUCAUGUGCUUAAUCCAAAGUUUUUGCAAAUUGAGUUGCAUGCUUCCUUGAUCUUUCUUAUGUUCUUGAUUUGUAUGCAGGAGGUAGCCUUCAUGACAAGGUCAACUGGGUAGCGCAUAGUUGAUAACCAGAGGAGAAGUGGUGCUUCAAUUGCGGGGUUUAGGUUUUACUAAUCAGAAGCCGGAUGGAUUCGGUUACUACUCAACUAAAUCAAGAGUUACCUUCACUUGACAAAAGAUUGGGCACCCUAAUUCUCAUCACUAAGCAAAGAGCUACAACUAAUCCGUACGCUCAUGGAUCAUGGUUGGUUUCCAUAGGUGGCAUCAACAGAUGGAUAGAAGAGUAUAAGGAGAAGGGAUUCUAACUUGGAACAUGUGCAUGCAUGAGAGAUGGGAGGGGGGAGGGGUCGGCCGGCCUAAUAGGUUUGGCCGAACAUGGCUUGGCUCCAAACGGUCUCCUAUUAUACAUGCUCAGCGUGCAAGGCAUGGUCAUGUCAAGGAAAGCAAAGAAGAGAGCGGAAUUUUGUACAUAGCAUGCACAUUUUAUUUCUUACUCUAAGAAAGGAAACUAUUCGAUCUCCAACAAUUUGAUGAUGCCUAAGUCUUGAUCUAGUUUGGGUAUCUUAGGUUCAGGAAAGAUUUUCAACUGCUGGCCAUUUACCUUAAAGAGAUUUCUACUUUCAUCCUGAAGGGUGAAGGGCCCAUGGGAGUAUGAGUUUAUAACUUUAUAAGGGUUGUCCCACUUGCUUCUAUGUUUAACCCUACCAAAAAUCUAAAUGCAAGAGUUAAAUACAUGUACGUUGUCUGCUGGGGUGAACUCCUUGAUCUGGAUGCACUUGUCAUGCC
rnacentral:lncRNA from 1 species